rnacentral:rRNA from 1 species
AGCAGCCGCGGUAAUUCCAGCUCCAAUAGCGUAUAUUAAAGUUGCUGCAGUUAAAAAGCUCGUAGUUGAAUUUCGGGACUAAUAUGUCGGUCGUGCCUCGGUACGUACUGGUAUUUUUGGUUUCUCCCUUCUGACGAACCUUGAUGUCAUUAAUUUGGUGUCUUGGGAAAUCAGGACUGUUACUUUGAAAAAAUUAGAGUGUUUAAAGCAGGCUCACGCUUGAAUACAUUAGCAUGGAAUAAUGAAAUAGGACGUUUGAUUCUAUUUUGUUGGUUUCUAGGAUCGACGUAAUGAUUAAUAGGGAUAGUUGGGGGCAUUAGUAUUCAAUUGUCAGGGGUGAAAUUCUUGGAUUUAUUGAAGACUAACUACUGCGAAAGCAUUUGCCAAGGAUGUUUUCAUUAAUCAAGAACGAAAGUUAGGGGAUCGAAGACGAUCAGAUACCGUCGUAGUCUUAACCAUAAACUAUGCCGACUAGGGAUCGGAUGAUGUAAUUUUUAAUGACUCAUUCGGCGCCUUACGG